rnacentral:rRNA from 1 species
GAUGAACGCUGGCGGCGUGCCUAAUACAUGCAAGUCGAGCGAACAGACGAGGAGCUUGCUCCUCUGACGUUAGCGGCGGACGGGUGAGUAAAACGUGGAUAACCUACCUAUAAAACUGGGAUAACUUCGGGAAACCGGAGCUAAUACCGGAUAAUAUAUUGAACCGCAUGGUUCAAUAGUGAAAGACGGUUUUGCUGUCACUAAUAGAUGGAUCCGCGCCGAAUUAGCUAGUUGGUAAGGUAACGGCUUACCAAGGCAACGAUGCGUAGCCGACCUGAGAGGGUGAUCGGCCACACUGGAACUGAGACACGGUCCAGACUCCUACGGGAGGCAGCAGUAGGGAAUCUUCCGCAAUGGGCGAAAGCCUGACGGAGCAACGCCGCGUGAGUGAUGAAGGUCUUCGGAUCGUAAAACUCUGUUAUUAGGGAAGAACAAAUGUGUAAGUAACUAUGCACGUCUUGACGGUACCUAAUCAGAAAGCCACGGCUAACUACGUG